UUAGCCGAACGGGUUUGACAGGACUAUAAUUCUCCCUUCAUUAAAAGUAUUAAUGAUAAAUACUAAGUAACUAAACAAUUAUAAAUACCCAAUCUUAGUUACUUAGGAAAAUGUGAAUAAGGUGCUAAUCCAUGAAAUUACACUUUGCACUUUGUUUAAGUCGGUUAGUGGAGCGUGUGUGGUUAACCGGCACACUAACUCGUAUUUAACAAGGUAGGUAAAGGGUAACUUAAUGUUUAUCUUAGUAUCGAUGGAGCGUGUGUGGUUAACCGGCACAUCGAUUGAGGGGUAAACACUUAAGGGUACCAAGUAAUUUGCAUGGUUACUUCACACCUUGUUUUGUGAUCCUCGGCAUCCCAUUCACAAAACCUGAAGGGCACACUCGAGAUUGAAACAUGCCAUUGAAAAGUUCAAUGAAUCUAAAAAUAUCUAGGAGUUUCAAAUCCAAUUAAACCAAAUAAUACAUUUAGUUUAUCUUGGUGGAAAUUGGUGAAUCGUCAUUCACCUACCUUCAAAUAUUGUAUAGCUUGGAUUACGACAUCCCUCUUCUAAGUUAUAAAAUAGUUUGUUGGGUCCUAGCAUUAGUAUCUCAUAUUGGGUGUCAUAUUAAGGACUUUAGAUCAACUAUCUUGAAUAUCUCCCAAAAGACGUCUAAUUCAUACAUUUAUGAUCUUCCUAAAUCUCUUGGAACUUAACUUCCUCCACCUCCUCCAAUUAUUCUCCCUAACCUGCAAGUUCAAGGUCACUCAAGCCCUAUUUUCAAGGCAAGGUCUGGGUGUGAUCACAUCUUGGAGAUGANUGUUAAGUAUUCACAAGCCGGGAGAGUUGGGUGUCAAAGUCUAGAGGAAGUGGAUGUUCAAUCACUUUCUAAGUCACAUAGUGAAUUCCUUCGGGACUCCUAUGAAAUAGACUAUGACAAGACCCUUAAUGAUCUUUACUAUUUUCUUGGUGCUGCUAAAUCAGAAAUGAUUUGGUGUACUAGUAAAGCAAAUUUUAUUAGGAGAUCAACUUCCCAAAACUUUAUGGACAGGGACAAUAGUGACACAGGAAAUCCAGAAAAGCAUUCUCUUCCCACUGGAAAGAGAUUGGCCAUAGUCAAUUUGGUUGACCAAAUGGUAAAGAGAAAGGCUAAGUUUGAAAUAGUCCCAUGUACUAUUACCUAAGGGUCCAUAUGUUUCUAUUUCCAAAGGAAGGGGCUUUGGUUACGAUGCUGCCAAACUAACCUAAGGAUGGUAAAGUCAAUAAGUUUGACUUUAUUUCAGGUAAAGUCCAUUGUCUAACUCUAUUAAGUUCCUACUUGGAGAUUCUUAUUACAUGAUGUGAUUGGGUCAAAGGUUGAUGUUUUAAGAAUCAAAGAAAAGUAAAGAAACUUAAAGGAAGUAUAUGCUGAUUCUGAUUGCGAAAAUGGAUUUCGAUCGCAUGGUUCUGUGAUCAGAAUUUUUGAGUUGCUGCUUAAGAGUUAUGAUAUAUUGCUUAGGUAUAGAUAACAACAAAGUAUUCAUAUGGAUUGUAAGGAUAAGGUUUUCUGCAAAGUUUUAAAAUAAAAGGAAAUUUUCAUUUAUUUUAAGUAUCCUUACAAUGGAAUUUGUGGAAAAAAUUUUGCUUAUAAGAUUUCAUUGAUAGCAAUAUUGAAUAUGGAUUUGAUUCUUUCAUCUGUGGUAGUGUCUAAUUUUACCAAAUAAGGAAAGAUUCUCAUCACCCAAGUUUAAAUUGGACCGAAACUUGGAAUCAUGCAAGUUGUAUAGUAUGAUGAAUGAGAAUUUUCAUCUUUGGAAAAUUAAGACUAAUUCAUUGUUCACAUGUAUAUAUUACUCAAGGGAAGGACAAAGGGAUCGGGUACCCUUGGGUGUGUGCUGGUCAGGUCCACCACAAAGAAUAUUCGUCAUUAUUUACUAAAUCUUAGUAAAUAUGGUUAAACUUACAAGUUUAAGUAUAAUUCUGAAAACAUUGAAAAUACUUCAAUGUAUGGCAAAGCGAAUGAGAAGAAUCAAAUUUGGCAGAAAGAUAAAAGUUUCUCAAGUCUGAAAAGAUGGGAGAGUACUUUAGUAUCAUGUUUAUGAUCAUCUUAAUGAUUAAGAUACCAUAUCACAAUUGAUCCUCUAAGGUCAUCUUAGUGCAUUUUUAUGACUAAGAAGAGGAGUCAUGAAUUGUUGAAAUGGUUAAAUCAAAAAGAUGAGUCAUACUUCGUUCCGAAACAAUUCUUAGAGUCAUACUCCAAGAUUGUAACUUGAGUGACAUAUCUUAAAGAAGGUUUAUUAACACUUGCCAAAUGUAAGAGUAAAAGGUUAUCUACUCUUGUACAUUUGAAAUUGGUAAGUUGUGAUAUUUUGGAUAAAACAGAGACCAACUUAGACCAAUUGUGUGAAGUGUUUGUGUUGAUAAAGAAUCCGCACUAUCUCUUGUAUAUUUGGCAAGUAAGUCUUAUAUGUCAAGAGGAUAGUGGGAGUCCUAAAGCUCUUGAAAGUUUCAAGACCUAAUCAAGAAUAAAACCUAGAAUUCUUCACUAGCACACGACUUGAGGUGUAUAACCUAUCGUGUUGACAUUUUUGUGCCUAUUCAAGUUGACUUUGCAUAGUAGUUCUUAGAGUUCUCAAUUGGUUGCACAACUACUUGGAAGCUAUGGCAGGCCCUUGUGCUGCCAGGUGGCAAGAACUUAAGAUUGCACAAGUUCAAUCCACAUGAGUUUGGAUUUGUCACUAACCUUGUCUUGUGAUUAUGGUUUUGACAAAUUCAUAUGGGUAGAAACUCAUACACCAUAAAAAUCUAAGUGUCAUAAGGUUUCUCUCCGAUUCAUGAAAACGAUGGUGAGGAAACACUUUCACUAAGUAGAUUUUUAAGUAGAUAGUAAUCUUUUCAUUCUCAAAGUCGUUAGUAGAGCACACUAACAUGGACUUAUGAGAAAUAGCAAAGGUCUAACCAAUUGAGACUAUGAUUACGACAUCCCUUUACAUAGUUCUUAAAUUGUUUAGCACACUAGUGAGCUAUUUACAAUAAGGUGUAUGAUUUUGAUAAAGUCUUAUCAAAGCAAUCUAGUAUCAGAAAUUUGAACUUUGGUAAGAAAGUCAAUAACGUAUUGAUUUCUAGAAGUCCACUAAUUUUUGAAUAUAUGUCAAAGCUAGUGGGAGCAUAAGUAUUAUGCUGAUAAUCAUCAUGUUAGUAGGAGCAUGAUAAUUAUGAUAAGUAUUGCAAGCUAGAAAUGUUAAUUAUAGAAAACAAAAGUUCAACUCGUGGGGUUGCAAGGGUUUAAAAAGUUGUUUUGGUAUAAUGAAGGGAGAGGAAAUUAUACUUCAUUUCAAUUCUAAAAGGCUUAGAUUGAUAUUUAAAUCGUUUUAGUCAAGAAUAUAUAUAUAAAUUUCAUGUUGGAUUGGUUCAACUUAAGGAAAUUCUAUAUAUUGUGUUCUCAAAAUUCGGUUAUGAUUACGGCAUCCCUCUUCAUAGUCAAAUUUUGAAAACAUGGCAAACAAAAAUUAUUGUAGCAAAAGACUGGUCUAGAAUUAUGUGUUUAUGUGAGACAUCAUGAAUCGUGUCCCGUUUGCUUUGGGUACAAGAUCGAUUGCAUGUGCUAUAAUAUUUAUCCUUUCUAAAUUUUCCGAAUGCCUUGGGGCAUUAAGGGGAAAAAAGGUCUAGAAUUGGAUAUGACUAAAGUGAUUAAGCAAUUGUCGAGGACAAUGUAAGGUUUUACCAAAGAUUGGUUGCUCAAAGACAGUUGGAAGUAUAUUGUUAAUAUUGGAAGGACCAUAUUGACAUAUUAUGGAAAAGAAACAACUCUUGUUCAGAAGUAGGAGUCAAAAUAGGAAUAUGGAGUUGUCUCCAUAGGUGGAAGUUAUAUCUGUAAGAUAGAAAACUUAAUGCAAGAAGGAUAUUGAAAGCAAGGUGCUUUGAGACUUCGUCUCCAUGGAAUUGAACUCCAUUGGAAUAAUCUGUAAUGACUGAUGAAAAGUCUUUGUGAAUUUGUACAUAUUCAUUACAAGAGGGUCUGUGCAUAUAAGUUUAAAAUCUAAAUAGAUUUUGGUAAAUGUUAGGAAUUUGGAAUUCUUACAUUUUUCGAUAAGGAUUUGGGAGUGUGAAAAGAGAAUCAUUGAAAGUACGUUCAACCGAUCUAUUUAACAAAGUAAGGAUCAUAGACAAACAAAGAGUGCAUACUUGAUGUAUUGCAAAGCUAUUGCUUAGAAAACAUAGUGUACAUGCUUGGAGCAUGGGACAACUAGUGUGUUCUAAAUUCAAGUAUAAAGUUGAUAAAACCGAAACAAUGAAUAAUGAGUAAUCAGUACGGUGAUAAAUAAAAAGUGUUUUAUUUAUAUUCAUAGUUUGAUACCAUAUUAGAUUCAUUUAUUCUUGUGUUUCAUUUUGCAUGUUUUGACUUCCAGAAUAAACUAGGUUAUUCUUCCUGAAUGACUAAGUUAUUCAAACCAUCCACAGUCGGUCAUAUGUUGGAAGUAGAUAUGAAUCAAGACUGUCAUGGGUUGGCUUGUAGAGGUCCAAGUUGGUGGACAAAGUUGUGCUACAACACUCAUGAGUGCUCAUAAGUUCUGAGUAUUGGAUUCAACCCGCGCUCAUUUGAAUCACUUCAUGGAUUUUAUCACGAGUGAUCAUGAGACGAUAAUAUCGUAUAUUCUUCAAACCUAGAGAUAUGAGUUAUUACUAUAAGUUGAUAGUACAUUGAUUUCACGAAAAACUCAUUGGUAAAUCGAUGUUAUAAAACGUGCCUUUGUGUAUGACUCAACAAGUAGUAGAACAAGCCAUAUGAGUCGAAGUUUAUCCAUUCCUUUUAACUUCAGGAUAAAAGCGAUAUCUGUGUGGCCCUUGAUGAUUUAGUGAUGACACAUGUGUGUGCUUGGCCAAGCCAGGACUGAUGUGAUUUGUUCAAUCAGUCAGUUGUCAUAAAUCGAAAAUCAAGAAACAACAAAUGAACAGAGAGAAUGAUUAUUAAUCCAUGUCUCAGUCCAUAUGAUAUCUAGAAUGGAGGAAUAUAUGAUCCCUUAUCUAAUGGAAAAGUCAUUGACAAGGUUAGAGUUUAGUUACAAGGUUAGAGUUCGACAGUGGCAUUUGAGAUCUAUGAUUGCUAGUUGGGUUUCGAAGUCAUACGCAAUAAUAGUUUUAGACUUAUCCAAGUGGGCGACUGUUGGAUUAAUGUCUAAGUCCAUAACUAUAUUUGGUAUGUACUUGACCCGACUAGGCAUGGUCCAUUUGGGUUGCAUGGCAUCAUGCACUUGGAAAGACUAAAUGAGAGAAAUAAGACACUUAUGGUUAUUAAUAUAUUAUAAUUUCUAAUAUAUUAAUAAUAAGAAUAAUAAUAUUUAAUUAGUAUUGAUCAAGAAUUAAUUUUUUGAUCAAAAGAANGUUACAUAACUCAUGGGUCAUGGAAAUGAAAGGUCAUGACAAUUAGGGUUUACAUGGUGUAACCCUAAUUGUAACAUAGUAUAUAAGCAUCAUAUUAUUCACCAAAAUCGGCCACUAGUGUGUGAAAAAGAAGUGCUAGCCGAUUUCUUGAAGUGUGGAUUUCUCUCUAAGUUAUUCCAAGAGAAUUUGAUGUUGUGUGAGCCAUUUGAGGUGUCACAUUUGAGGCACUAGGCACGCAAGCCCCAUGGAGUCAAGCUACACUACAAAAGUUAUGUAUUUUAUCUAUAUUAUUACCCAAGUAUCUAUGAUUGUAUGCUAGAUAGGGUAAUACCUUGGAAUAUUAGCAUUUGCAUGUAUAUUAGAGAAACCAUAGAUCCAAUGUAUAUAGGGUUGCAUGUACACCAUAGGAGUGUUAGAAUGCUCACAACACAAUAGUAAUAUCCAUUUCUUCCACAUCUUCUGGAUGAAUCUGAUCCAGAUCAGCAAACGACAAUUUUGGAGGAAGAUCUCCAGCUACAAGAGCAUUGUAGCAGUUAACAAGUCCUAUGGCAAGUGCAAGAUUUUCAUCACACUCCUUAGAACUUGAGGAAGAAGCCCCAUUAGAGGAAGAAGCAACUUGAGAAGCAGCAACUUGAGAAGCAGCAAAUGAUUGAUUCUGAGGAAGAGGCAUGGAUGAUGCAGCAGGAAGUGAAGUAGCUGAUGAAGUGGAAAAGCAUUGAGUAUGAGCUUGCUGAGCAGUAAAAGGUUGACCUGUAGAGGGAAAGGUGAGAGAUGAAAGAGAAUUGUUAGAUGAAAUUCCAAGAUUUGUAGUUGAAUACGAAUUCACAUAAUUUAUCUCCCCCUGUUUAUCAUCAAUAUCACAAGCCUUGAUGAUCGCCAUCACUUCAGCAAGAGUAAGGCAAUUUAGGUCUUUGGUCUUCUUGAUGACAACUACAUUCAUGUCCCAUGACUUUGGAAUGGCAUUUAGUAGCUUGUUGUUUAUUUCAGACUCUGUCAAGAAGAUUCCAGCUAUGUUCAUCUCAGUGGUGAGAGUUGUGAAUCGUUGUGGUUGUGCCUCCAGGGUCUCACCAGGAAUGUAAUUGAACAUGUUGAAUUUUUGGCGCAGCACGUCCUGGCGACUCUCCUUCAUAUCUUCAUUCCCUUCAUAUACUUCAAUUAGGGCUUCCCACAAAGCCUUUGAUGAACUAUACUCCCUAAAACCUUGAGCUAUAUCCGGAGAUAGAGCCAUGGUCAGAGUGGCCAAAGCCCGUUCUUGUUCUUCACCCUUCUCAAAAUCUUCAUCAGUGUAAUUCUCAAUAGCUUUUUCAACUACUUGCCCUGCAACAGUUGUGGUUAUUCUGACGGGAUUCUUGAUGAUGCUUCUCCAAAUCUUGAAGUCCUUCAUUUUAAUGUACUUUUCUAUCUGGUAUUUCCACUCAGGAAAACCAUCCGCAGACAAGAGUCUUUGAAUGCGAGUAGUGGUGCCCAUGACAGAGUCCAACUCAUGGUGAUGUGGUUGACUUUGUGAAUCCAUUGAUUAUUAAUCUUAAAAACACAGAUUUUUUUUAUUUUAAAAAAAAAUUAGUUUCCGUUCAACACAAGAGUUUACGGUCAAAGGUGGGUUUGCGGCCGUAAACUCGGUUUAUGGUCGAGAGUUUGUGGUCCAAAUGAUUACGGUUUUUGAAUCUAAGCUUGCGGUUAUUGAAGAUACUUGAUUUACGAUCUAAGAACUGAGUUUACGGUCCAAGAAGGUUCUUGAGCUUGCGGCCGUAAACUGGGUUUGCUACCGUAAACUCUUGGCAGUAAACUCCUAGAAGUUCAAGAAAUCACGUUUUUGGAUUAAACUUGAUUCCCUUUCACAGUAAACACCAACUCCAAUCUCAAACAGUGAGGAAUAUGGCCAAAAACUUGAUUGUAAGAUGCUUUGACACUGGUUUUGUUCUGAUACCAAUAGUAAGGUUCGGAAACGGAUUUUACUAGUGAUCAAGCAAAGAAAACAAUUGAUUAUAAUGAGAAUGAAGUAGAAACAGAAUCAAGAACCAGUUUGCACAUGCUUCUAUUAACGAAAAACAUCUGGUACAACUUGUUUACAGCAACCGUGAACUCUAUGGUAUCAACAACCAUUAAAUUACCUACAUAACCUCUAUAUAUAGUGGACUUGGGCCGACUCUGGGUUUACGGCCGUUAACAGGCUUACAGCCGUAAACACAUAACAAGGCCGUAAACUACUAACCAAACUACCAAAACUGCAUACAGACCCAAAAGAACCUAUUACAACGAAAGCCAAGACCAAACCAUUAAUUAGACCCUUCAGAGUGCCGUUGUUACAGAUUCCUUCAUCGCUCGACUCUUGAAUCUCUUUAAGAUCGAUUUGCCUCCCACUGUCUCCUUGGCUUAUGAGUUCUCUUUCUCGGAAAACCCCUCUCCUCGCAACGAAGAAAACAUUGCCACUCGGUCUAUAGAAGAGAUAUCCAUAGGAAUUAUGUGGAUAGCCAAUGAAAAUACACCUCUCACUACAAGGUUCGAGCUUAUCGUGAGUCUCUCGUAUUACAAAAGCUUCGCAACCCUAAACCUUGAUAUGUGCCAACGAGGAAGCUUUCCCUGUCCACAUCUCAUGAGGUGUUUUGGCAACCUUCUUUAUAGGGACUAAGUUAAGGAUAUGGGUGGCAGUGUCUAAGGCAUACCCUCAUAAUGAGAUAGGUAGCGAAGCACGACUCAUCAUGGAACGAACCAUGUCUAGCAAGGUUCGAUUACGCCUCUCAGCUACACCAUUCAACGGCAGUGUCCAAGGUGGCGUUAAUUACGAAAAGAUUCUGCAUUCCUUAAGGUAGUCAUGGAAUUCAAGACUAAGGUACUCUCCACCUCGAUCGGAUCGAAGCAUCUUGAUUUUCCUGCCCAGCUGAUUCUCUACUUCCUGCUUAAACUCUUUGAACUUUUCAAAGGUUUCUGACUUGUGUUUGAUUAAGUAGAUAUACCCAUAUCUGCUAUAAUCAUUGGAUAAAGUCACAUAGAAGCGGCUUACAUCUCUUGUGGUGGAUCUAAAGGGCCUAUAGACAUCGGUGUGUAUGAGAUCCAAUAAACCCUCACCCCUUUCACACGUACCAGUGAAAGGUGACUUGGUCAUCUUUCCAAGUAAACAAGACUCGCACACAUCAUCGUCCCUAAGGUCCAAUGACUCCAACACUCCAUCCUUUUGGAGUUGGGUUAUGUGUUUCUUGUUGACAUGUCCAAGACCACAAUGCCACAAGCAUGCUUUGUCCAAACUAUUGGAAGAUUCAAUAUGCAACACAUCAUUUCCUAAGUUAUCUACAACCAUCACAGUUUCAUAUAUUCUAUUACAAGGCAAUGCUUCAAAAUAGAAAACACCAUUAAGGUAAGCAUUAAUAGAACCCUUUUCGUUAUAAAAUGAAUAUCCAAAUCCUUGUCUAUAUAAACCAUGAAAAGAAAUGAUGUUUCUUGCCAUUUCUGGCGAAUAGAAACAGUUAUUCAAAUCAAGUCCGAAUCCAUUACUAAGCACUAAAUAGUAAACUCCAAUCUUGGUGACAGGCGGCGCUCUUCUGUUCCCCAUGAUCAAGUUUAUCUUCCCAUGCUCCACAUCCCUAUUUCUUCUUAGGCCCUGCAAAUUAAAACAAAUCUGAAAACCACAUCCUGUAUCAAGUACCCAAGAAAUAGCAUGUGAUGAAUCAUUAGAUUGAAUAGUGUAAAUACAUGCGAAGGACGGCUUGAUCUUCCCAUCCUUGAUAUCUUGCAGAUACUUCGGGCAGCUUUGUUUCCAAUGCCCUAUGUCGUGGCAGUGAUAACACUCUGCAUCCACUGGGUUUGAGGUAGGUGUAGCAGGACCAGCCUUGGUUCCACUAGAAGAGGUGUCUGUUGGAUUAAUGUCUAAGUCCAUAACUAUAUUUGGUAUGUACUUGACCCGACCCGGCAUGGUCCAUUUGGGUUGCACUUCACCCACACAAUUUAUAUGGAUAAUCUUUUGAGAAUAGUAUGUUUAUGAUUAAUAUUAAUAUAUUAUAAGUUCUAAUAUAUUAAUAUGGAAUCAUAUUAUUUAAUUAGUAUUGAUCAAGAAUUAAUUUAUAAUUAAUUAAGUGAUCAAAAGGAACUAAUUAAAUAUGGACUCUUAUAUAUAUGGAAUGGGCCAAGUUCAUUUAGGUUGGGCUAAGCUUUCAUGGAUAGUCCAUGGAGUGUUUAACCCAUGGAUCCUAGGAAAUGAAAGGUCAUGGGUAUUAGGGUUUAACCCUAAUCCUCCAUACUAUAUAAAGAUGUCUUUGGUUGGUGAAAUUGGCACUAGUGGUGAUACACUAAGAGGGCUAGCCGAUUUCACUAAGAGAGAACCAAGUAUUCAUAUUCUCUAAAGUCUUCCAAGGUGUCUUGGUGAUUUGUGAUUCCACUUGAGGCUUCCACACUAUUGGGGCUAAGCUCUUAAAGCUUGAAGACAUCAAGCUACAUCAAAAGGUAUGUCUUCUAACUAGUACUUUGUAGAUUAAGAACAUCAUAAUAUGCUAGUUAGGAUUAAAGCCUUGGAAAGUUCUUAUUUGCAUGUAUAAUAGAGAAAACAUAGAUCCAAGGUUUAUAGGGUUGCAUGUACACCAUAGGAGUGUUAGAAUGCUCAAAACCCAACAGUGGUAUCAGAGCCACGGGUUGUUUUCUGUUAUAUUGAUGCAAAUAUUUUAUUUUCAAAGUUGAAAAAAAAAAAAAAAAAAAACAUGAAGUUUGUCAAAUUUUAAGAUAAUUACUUGUUCUUGUGAAAAACUAAUUAUUUGUAAAAUUUGAAUAAUUUGCUUUAUGAGUUGAAUUAGGUCAAAUUUAAUAAAAGAUAAAAUAAUAUGAUUAUUUUAUUAGUUUUAAAAGUUUGAUCUAAAGAGUUUUAUUUUUUGAAACCUCCAUAAGUUAUGGAUAUGAAAAGGUUUUAAAAAAAAAAUUGAUUCAAAGUUUUUUUGGAGUUACAAAAUUUGGUGUUAAUGUUUUAAAGGAUUCCAUAACUUAAGAAUAAGUUAUGGAUCACCAAAAGUUUUUUGUGUUACCUUGUUUUAUGAGUGAAUUUAGAUUAAUGAAUAAAAUUAUGUGAUAGUUGGUUUUAAUCCAAAUUAAUCUAAGAAUUGAUUCUAAAAUGUGUUUUUGUAACUUGUCCUCAAGUUAUAUGAAAAGUCACAUUUAAGAAUCAUAAAACUCAUAAAAAUUGGCAAAGGUUACAAAAAUGAAGAGUCUAGUUCUAAUUAAAUGGUUUUAUGACUCCAUAACUUGUCCUCAAGUUAUGGAGGACCAAGAGUCUCUUCAUUUAAUAAAAUAAAAUAAAAAAAAAAAAAGUGUAACCUUAAUUAAUUCCAUAAGUUAUAAAAUAAAGAAAAGUUAAUUCUUUUAUUAGUUUAAAGUCUUCCAUAACUUGUCCUCAAGUUAUGGAACUUGAAGAGUUUUUGGAUUAAAACUACUUUAAACACAUAAGUUAUGGAAUUAAUUAGUUUUGAAUAGUUUCAAAACUUGCCCUCAAGUUUUGGAAUUUGUAAAGUUUUCACUUAUGAAUACUUUAAUUCCAAGUUAGCCCUUAGAAUUUUAAAAGUUAAAAUUCAACCCUUAUACUUUAUAAUAUUAUAAGUUAAUAAUAUAUAUAUGUAUAAGAGUAAAGUCAGUCUUACCGCUAGUACGCCUCAUUCACGAAGCCGGUCUAUAAGGUGGGUAUAAGGUUGUUGCCUAUAAAAUGGCAACUUAAUGGGUGUCCACUCUCACCCACCGCUUGCUUGACUGGUGGAGGGUCGUUAGCCGAACGGGUUUGACAGGACUAGAAUUCUCCCUUCAUUAAAAGUAUUAAUGAUAAUACUAAGUAACUAAACUCUUAAUAAUACCCAAUCUUAGUUACUUAGGAAAAAUGUGAAUAAGGUGCUAAUCCAUGAAAUUACACUUUACACUUUGUCUAAGUCGUUAGUGGAGCGUGUGUGGUUAACCGGCACACUAACUUGGACUUAACAAGGUAGGUAAAGGGUGACUUAAUAUUUAUCAUAGUAUCGAUGGAGCGUGUGUGGUUAACCGGCACAUCGAUUGAGGGGUAAUUUAUUAAGGGUACCAAGUGAUUUGCAUGGUUACUUCACACCUUGUUUUGUGAUCCUCGGCAUCCCAGUCACAAAACCUGAAGGGCACACUCGAGAUUGAAACAUGCCUUUGAAAAGUUCAAUGAAUCUCAAAGAUCUAGGAGUUUCAAAACCAAUUAAAACCUAAUAAUACAUUUCGUUUAUCUUGGUGGAAAUUGGUGAAUCGUCAUUCACCUACCUUCAAAUAUUUUAUAGCUUGGAUUACGGCAUACCUCUUCUAAGUUAUAAAAUAGUUUGUUGGGUCCUAGCCUUAAUAUUUCAUAUUGGGUGUCAU
rnacentral:lncRNA from 1 species